rnacentral:lncRNA from 1 species
CACACCGCCCACCAAGGCCGCGGGCCCUGCGCGCCCGGGGCAGGCGGGCACACCCCGCACCCUCUCCGCCCGCCCGCCCCCGGCGCCCUUCGCAUUCCCUUCUUCGGCCCUGGCCCCUCGGACCGGAGCGCCCAGGCCAGCUCAGGGUGUUCCCGUGGGGGUCUCCGGGAACAAUGUAGAGACAGGGUUUCACCGUGUUAGCCAGGAUGGUCUCGAUCUCCUGACCUCGUGAUCUGCCCGCCUCAGUCUCCCAAAGUGCUGGGAUUACAGGUAGAGGACCUUUGGAGAUGUGAAUGAAAACAGCUGUCUGAACAAGUUGUACCCUAACUAGCGCGGCUGCGAGUCUGAAACUUGAAACGGGGAAGUUGGUCAGCAUGGGUGAAGCUAUGCAGCCCAGGUGAAGGGAUCCUCAAGCAGCAGCCUCUGCCUUUUUGUCCUCUCCUUUUCAUGGAGAUGACAAGAAUCACCCCGGGACUUAUCUUCUGAGGUGCUCAGCUGUGCUCCCAGAGCUGCUUUGGUCACUGCUAUGGCGGGUGGAAGCAGGAUGGGUGAAGUCAU